AUUGAACGCUGGCGGCAGGCCUAACACAUGCAAGUCGAGCGGAUGAAGGGAGCUUGCUCCUGGAUUCAGCGGCGGACGGGUGAGUAAUGCCUAGGAAUCUGCCUGGUAGUGGGGGAUAACGUCCGGAAACGGGCGCUAAUACCGCAUACGUCCUGAGGGAGAAAGUGGGGGAUCUUCGGACCUCACGCUAUCAGAGGAGCCUAGGUCGGAUUAGCUAGUUGGUGGGGUAAAGGCCUACCAAGGCGACGAUCCGUAACUGGUCUGAGAGGAUGAUCAGUCACACUGGAACUGAGACACGGUCCAGACUCCUACGGGAGGGAGCAGUGGGGAAUAUUGGACAAUGGGCGAAAGCCUGAUCCAGCCAUGCCGCGUGUGUGAAGAAGGUCUUCGGAUUGUAAAGCACUUUAAGUUGGGAGGAAGGGCAGUAAGUUAAUACCUUGCUGUUGUGACGUUACCAACAGAAUAAGCACCGGCUAACUUCGUG
rnacentral:rRNA from 1 species